rnacentral:lncRNA from 1 species
UAAACGUGGUGCUCAAUGGUAACAGUUUCACACUAUAAGGGUCUUAAUAAAGCAGAGGAAUUUGGAGUGUGUGCAUGCAUCCGUCUCUGUUUAACCAGGAAGUGGGAAGCACAUGCGUGAUUUGAAGCAUGGGACAAUUUAGGUAGCUAUGUGAUGUCAUCAUUAUAUAUUUGAUACUGUUAGAGCAUCUCCAAGGGCUUUGCAAACAAACUUUGCAUUGCCCUAUUUGUAAAAAAGAGAAGAAAAUACUCCUUCAAUGGUUUUGCAAAUAAGGUUUGCAAUUUGGUUAACUUUGCAAAUACAGGUUGAGGCUUUGCAUAUAUGCAAACCUUCCCACCACUUUGCAUCUACAAUUUCGGCCUUCCACGUCACGGGUUUGGGUUUGCCAAGUCUAAAUGCAAAGUCCCUUGGAGUUGGACUAUUUUUAGACUUUGCAAAUGAGUUUGGCACUUUGCAAACAACACCAAAUGCAAAAUUCAUUUGCAAAGUCCCUUGGAGAUGCUCAUUUAUUUAAGUUGACAAAUGAUUAAUUUUCUACACUUGCCCUAGGUGCCACGGCAAAUAAUGCUCUUACUAUUUUUCAUCUCUUUUCUUCCCGAUGCAACAGUGACACAAUAUAAUCGCGCUAGCAUUCUACGACAAAUCUACGAGGAGCCAAACCUUUGGUAUCAACUGUCUACAAGUGUGCAACCACAAUGGCACUCUGCCACAGCCAUUUCUUUUAGUACUUUUUUUUUUCCUGUGUUGUUUUCUAGCUGCUAAAGCAUGUAUCAUGCUUUGGGUUGGUAGUGGUGGGAAAGCACGUUCUCAUCCAUGUACCUUGUACUCGCUAGAGCUUGUUCACUUGAGAUUAUUUACUAAAUUUAUUAAUUAUUUAAUAGUAUUUUUCUUUUCAAAAUAAAUCAACAAAUAUUAUUUUCAGUUACAAUAUAUAAUGCCAAGCGAACAGGAUGAACGAAAAAAGGGUUACUCAACAUCGUACAGUACACACUAGCUAGCUAGGUGCAUGUCUAGAGCUGGAGAUCGACCUAGGUUUUGGUCAACUUUGCAAGACAUCUUUUGGUUAGGCCUUCUUUACUUCCCAGAAAAUUUUGCAAAAUUUUUCACAUUCCCCGUCACAUCGAAUCUUUAGACGUAUGUAUGGAGUAUUAAAUAUAGACAAAAAUAAAAACUAAUUACACAGUUUGGUCGAAAUUGACGAGACAAAUUUUUUGAGCCUAGUUAGUCCAUAAUUGGACAAUAUUUGUCAAAUACAAACGAAAGUGCUACAGUGUCGAUUUCCCAAAAAUUUUCGGAACUAAACAAGGCCUUAGCUCUACUCUGACGAAGAUUCUCGUCUUGUGAGCUCAUAUAUAGAUAGGAAGUUGACUUCGCAAAGGGCAGUAUCGUAUGCCCAAAGGUUACUAUCUACAGCUACAUCAACCACUAGUAAGUAAUUAGGGCGGGCCAUAUAUAACUCGAAAUGUUUGUGGUGAAAAUGGCGCCAUAAAAGGAACAAGAGCUCGUGGCAGAUGUUGGAACAGAGCAACUACAAGGUGUGUGAGCAGAGUACGCCUUCUGGUACACGUGCUAUAGCUGCUCUGUUCGAGGCGACAGAAGGAAGAAGAUGCAGAUGCAGACUCGCAGAGCAUGCAUACACGAACAGUGAAAAAAAAAUGUUACGAGAUUCCAGCUAUAUAAGGCCUUGUUUAGUUUCAAAAAUUUUUGCAAAAUCGAUACUGUAGCAUUUUCGUUUGUAUUUGACAAAAAUUGUCCAAUCAU